UGCAUGGUGUCACUUAAAAUAAUUCUUCAGAAAUAUUUAUGAACGAAUCAUGGGCAAAUCAGUUCCAUUUCAUGAGGUGAUAUAAUCAACACAUAGAAGUGUUUGCACCCAUAGGACAAAAUACCUUUGUUUCUGGUUAAAAUAAUCAAACCCAUCAGAAAUGAUUGUCUAUUCUAGGAUGAUCCACACCAUGGUAAGUGAAGUUAAAACAGUAUUCCCCAGGAGAAAAAUCAAAAAAUAAAUAAAUAAUGAAGGCAUGGUAUAUAGAAAGAAUCUGUCACACAUACAAAGAUAGACAAGUCUUCAGAGGACUUUUCUACACAUAUUCAUGAGUGAGAACACACAUCCAACCAAAAAUACGUUGAUUUCACUUCCACAAUCAGCAGUGUGGAGACUAAAGAUAGUACAAUUAAAAUUACAUUCUUAACCCAAAAGUCCAAAAACAAAGAAUAGAUAGUUUACAGAAAAGAGUUUGUAAAGCACAGAAUGACAGGUCUACAGAAGGUAUUCACAAGUGAGAAAACACAUCUAACCAAAAUUCUAGGGAUUUCACCAUCACAAACACCACUUUGGAGCCUGGAAAUGCUGCACAGCCUCCUGUGAGCAGGACACUCACCGGGUCCCUGAACAGUGUGAUGGCCCCAAACACAAACCUCAAAGUAAGUUCAGCCUCUCAGUGUGGCAGGAGCAGGUGCGGUGCCAGGGGAUGUGUCUCCAGCAGUUGGAGUCAGGUGGGCUCAGGGAGAUGACUGGAAAGCCUUUGAGGAAGGAAGAGGCCAUGAGGCCUUAGUCAUAGGCACAGGCUCCUCUUCUGUGUGAACAGGGCCAGGGUCCUCCAGGACACCUUCCAAAGCCUCCUCUUUCCUCCACAUGUAGGGCGCUGAAGCCCCACCAACCCUCCAGGGUUUGCUGCCACAUCAUCCCUGGAGCAGCCCCUAAGGUUCCCUGCUGUUCUCAUGGCUGUAGGGAUGCUCAGUCAUGUCACUGUAAGGGAACCCUAGUGUGUCCUGUCCUCACCUGCUGCCACUGAUGACCUUCAUAGCGAGUCUCCAUGCCUUUGCCAAGUGACCCCACUCUCACCAACCAUCAGGAGGCUGGAAAAUGGCCUGCACUCCAUGAUGUUCGGCUUAUGAGUAAGUCAGGGCUCAGGGCAGUCUCAUGUUUGUGCAGCUCAUAAUAAUAUCACACAGGAAUCCUAUUUUGACUUUCCCUGACUCCUCAUUCUCUCUGAGCAGUAACUCACUCUGCUCGUCCACUCUAAGACUUUCUUCUUGUGCAGCUGCUAAUGGUGUUUUCAUUUGGAGACUGAUAUGACUGUAUUGGUGGAAUACUAGAUGUGUGCUUGUCACAUCCUCACAUUUCUAAGAAUAAAAGACCCUUCUUUUGAGUGGCAUUUAUUCUUUUUUUCCUAGUUUGUCAGGAUUACAUUUCCAGUGAUUGAUGUGAAAACUUCUUUGCUAAAACACAUUCAUAAUGCUAUAAAUUAACUGCAUUUUUUUGAAUCUCAUAAAUUUGGAUAUGUGAUGUUUACUUUCAGAUCCAAGUACUUUUUAAUUUCCCUUUUUGUUGCUUCUUUGCCCCAAACUACAUAUAGUGGUACUUUACAUAUUUUCCAAAUAUUUAGAUUCUUUUUGGCAAAUUUUUAAAAAAUUAAAUUUAGAAUUUCAGUGGCUUUAUUGGUAAGAGUUGUUUUUGGUUACACUGAUGAAUUGUAUAGUAGUGAACUCUGGGCUUUAGCUACCCAUCACCCGAACAGUGUACCUUGUGCCCAAUAGGUAAUUUUUCAUUCCUCCUCCUUCUCCCACCAACCCCAUUCUGAUAACUUUCUGUUUCUGAUUUCUAAUACAAUCCCCUCAGUUAUGAAUAAUUUAUUUUUUUGAUUUAAUCAGCUUGGUUUUUUUGAAAUAUCUUGUUGCCCAAAAUAUAGUGUAUCAUUAGCCAAUGUUUUGAAAGACCAUGGAAUCUGCUGUGGUUUGGUGGAGUGUUCUCUAAGUAUCAGCCUUGUCCAGAUGGUUGAUAGCAUUGUUGAAGUCGUUUGCAUCCGCAGUGGCCCAAGAGGCUGGGCCGUUUGCACUUCAACCUGGAUCUGCUGCAGAGCCCUUUUCUAUCCUGAGUCCCACUCACGACUGGCUGACUUUCAUGUCACCUGCUGGGCCAAACCUGUAUUCCAACGGGUAGAAUAUGUAGCCUCCAGAAACCAAAGAAGUCCUAUUUGUGGCUUCCUUCUUUGAAAGACAAAGACACAUAUUAACAACACUGGAAUAAAAUAAAUAUUCCUGUAAUCCUGAACUCUGAUUCACUCCGUCUUUAUGUUACACACAUUACAAAGGCCUUAUUAAUGGGGACACCAUUUAGUGGCAUUUGAUGGCAGCAGUAGAGACGAAUGCCCAGAUUCAAGGUGCAGGGCAAUACCAGCCAGGGGAAAUCAGCCUCUCAACCACAGCCACAAUAUGACUAGGCAGCCACAAAGAGUUCCCAAGUAAUUUUCUGAUCAUUGACCCGGUCGUGGUGCAGUAUCUGGACUUGCUCUCUAAUGAGGAAAAUUUAAUGUUGUGAUGUCCUUGAUUCUACUGCACCAACAUUCAUCUGGUCUGUUUGUCUGUCAGCCACUCACAAGGACACUCAAGUCAAAUUCUCUAAAUAUAUAAUUGUCUUCCUUCAAAUUCUAGAGAAAAGGUUGAUUUUAGAUUUGCCUAGCAAAUUAAAUAUUUUAAUGCUAUUAAUAGGAUCAUUUAAAUGGUAUCCUUCUCUUAGUCUCUCUGCAAAGGUUAACCUGGGGCAAAUUUCAUAAUAGGUUUUUCUUUAUUUUCAUUUUCCUCUAUAACUUCUGAGUAAGAUGACCUACUCUGAGAAAACCUAUGAAGUUAGUUUUAACCCAAAACAAAAUCAUUAUUUUGAAAUUUAAUACCAUCACAAGCCAGAGACAAAAGAUAUUACUCUUGCUUUAUGGCUUAUUAGGACUAUUAAUGACUAGUAAGUAUUUGCUUUAAUCUUCCAUAAGUCAAUAGGUUUCUUCCUUUUAUUUUGCCUUAUACAAAUAAUUGUAUAAUAGUUUUCCUGUUAUAACAGAUUUGUGUACCUUCUUAUUUUCAGUAUUAAUUUUUGCCUAGGACUGCUAGGAUUCCAGAAUACAAAAGAAACCAUUUUCUAGGUUGAGGAUGUUUCUAAUUUACUAAGAAUAUUUAUCCAUGAAUCUCUGUUCCAGCGAGGGACAAUUUCAGUUAGUGAGACAACGCAGACGGCUUCAUUCCCAGGUGCCUGGGAGCCAGGAAUCCAUUCACAGGACCUGUAGCUUCACAGAUGGAAGCUCCAUUUAAAUGUGACUGUCCUUGUGAAACUAUUUAUUGUUGGCACCAUUAUUCAGGAGCUGUUCAAUGGAAUGUUAAGCACAUCGAUGACAAAUAAAGAACAGUGUGGUUGUUUUUCUGUUUAAUGAUCAGUUGUAUGGUAGGUUCACAUCCCUAAGCUGUGAGCAUUUUUACAUAAAGUCAAGAAAAUAUCAGUUACAAGUACAGGUUACCCAGAGAUGUAAAACUGUGAAUGCAGUUCUUGCUCUUUAUACACAGAGAAUUUCCUUUGGAUCUGUGGACUCGUGGCUGUGGCUGCACCACAUCCAGGCUGGGGGAGACUCACGUCUCACUCAGAGUUGACGAGAACCUGGAAGCCCUGACAGGACCUGAUUCCACAUGACCAGGGAGACUGUGUGGGAAGAGCUUUUCUAAUCAUCACUUGAAAAAACAUCAUGCAAAGUUAUUUCUUAUUUGUUCUGUAUCAUUAAUCUAGAAGAUUCUUCCCUUAAGACAGAGUCCUCUGGGCCAGGCACAAUGGCUCACACCUG
rnacentral:lncRNA from 1 species